GCUGGGCGUGGUGGUGCGUAUCUGUAAUCCCAACAGCUGGGGAGGCUGAGACAGGAGGAUUGCAUGUUCAAAGCCAGCCUCAGCAAAAGCGAGGUGCUAAGCAACUCAGUGAAACCCUGUCUCUA
rnacentral:sRNA from 1 species